AGAGUUUGAUCAUGGCUCAGGAUGAAUGCUGGCGGCGUGCCUAACACAUGCAAGUCGAGCGGCAGCGAGGGGUGCUUGCACCCUGUCGGCGAGCGGCGAACGGCUGAGUAACGCGUAGGAAUUUGCCCCAAAGUGAGGAAUAACUGCCCGAAAGGGUAGCUAAUGCCGCAUAUGGUCUUCGGAUUAAAGGAUUUAUCCGCUUUGGGAGAAGCCUGCGUUGGAUUAGGUUGUUGGUAGGGUAAUGGCCUACCAAGCCGACGAUCCAUAGCUGGUCUGAGAGGAUGAUCAGCCAGACUGAAACUGAGACACGGUCCAGACUCCUACGGGAGGCAGCAGUGAGGAAUCUUCCACAAUGGGCGAAAGCUUGAUGGAGCAACGCCGCGUGAAGGAUGAAGGCCUUCGGGUUGUAAACUUCUUUUAUGAGUGAAGAAUAUGACGGUAACUCAUGAAUAAGCACCGGCUAACUACGUGCCAGCAGCCGCGGUCAUACGUAGGGUGCAAGCAUUAUCCGGAGUGACUGGGCGUAAAGAGUUGCGUAGGCGGUUUAAUAAGUGAAUAGUGAAACCUGGUGGCUCAACCAUACAGACUAUUAUUCAAACUGUUAAACUCGAGAAUGGUAGAGGUAACUGGAAUUUCUUGUGUAGGAGUGAAAUCCGUAGAUAUAAGAAGGAACACCAAUGGCGUAGGCAGGUUACUGGGCCAUUUCUGACGCUAAGGCACGAAAGCGUGGGGAGCGAACCGGAUUAGAUACCCUGGUAGUCCAA
rnacentral:rRNA from 1 species